rnacentral:lncRNA from 1 species
AGCCAGCUCAAAGUCAAAGUUCAACAACAACAAUCACAAGUCUUAGUUGUUCUAUCCUAUUACAAAUUUACAAUAGCCAACAUCAGUGGCAAGGCAACUGGCAGAUUGAGUUCACAAAGAGGAAGCAGGACUUCUAUCCUAUUACAAAAGGCCAAUAGGGAACUUGCAUCAUAAGCCAAUCCAAAAGUGCCUCCUCAUGUUCAUUAUGACUCAAUCAACAGCCAAUCCAAAAAUAUCUGCAAAUAAAACUUGUCAACUUGCUUGAUCGAUGUAAAUGUAAACAAGGUAAGUAGAUGAUGAUGACUACCUUCAGAGGUGGCAGGUGCACUUCUUCUAACCGCCAGCUCCAGCAGCAGCACCACCGCUGCCUUCUCCUUCAUCCAGGAAUAAGCUGUCGAACAACUCCUCUAGGCCCUUGUCCUCAGGUGCAUGCUGUUCUUUUCUGGC